AAACUCACCAUUUCAUGCAUGUACCAAAUCAUCACUCCCUUCCCCCCUCAAAAACCAAAAAAGUCAUCCAAGGCUCCUCUAGCCUUGAGCAAAUUUUCUCUCUUCAUCCCCAAUUUUCCAGAGAAAAUUUGUGAAAUUUUGAGACGUUGAGCCGAGGUGCCGAGUAGCUCUCUAACAAAACCCAUGACGACAAUGGGUGGCGGCCCCUCUUGGGGUCGUCUUUGGCCUCAAAUGGCAGUGGCAUUAGCAGCUAUACUAGUUGUGGUUUCAAGCAAUGUGGGUUCAGUAGAAGCAAAUGCUUAUCCCUACUCUUCACCACCACCACCGCCUUAUGUUUAUAGCUCACCACCACCUCCUGUUCACUCUCCACCACCGCCAUAUGUGUACAAAUCUCCACCACCACCAUCUCCGUCACCACCACCGCCUUAUGUGUACAAGUCUCCACCACCACCAUCACCUAAACCCCCCCCAUACUACUACAACUCUCCACCACCCCCAUCUCCGUCACCACCACCGCCUUAUGUGUACAAGUCUCCACCACCACCAUCACCUAAACCCCCCCCAUACUACUACAACUCUCCACCACCCCCAUCUCCGUCACCACCACCGCCUUAUGUGUACAAGUCUCCACCACCACCAUCACCUAAACCCCCCCCAUACUACUACAACUCUCCACCACCCCCAUCUCCGUCACCACCACCGCCUUAUGUGUACAAGUCUCCACCACCACCAUCACCUCAGCCACCCCCAUACUACUACAAAUCCCCACCACCACCAUCACCUAAGCCACCAACCCCAUACUACUACAAAUCCCCACCACCACCAUCACCUAAACCACCAACCCCAUACUACUACAAGUCUCCACCGCCGCCUUCUCCAUCUCCACCACCGCCUUACUACUACAAAUCUCCACCACCACCCAAGGCUCUUCCACCUCCAUACUACUACACUUCUCCUCCACCACCUACUCCUUACCAUCCCCACCCACAUCACCAUCCAUUCGUGACGAAGGUUGUCGGAAAGGUCUACUGCUACAGAUGCUACGACUGGGGUUAUCCGGUGAAGUCCCACGACAAGAAGCACCUCAAAGGUGCUGUUGUUGAGGUCACUUGCUGGGCUGGCAAGAAGGAAAUCAAGGCAUAUGGCAAAACCAAGAUCAAUGGCAAAUUCAGCAUCGCUGUCCCUGACUUUGAUUAUGGCAUGUAUGGAGCUAAGGCUUGCAAGGCCAAGCUCCAUGCAGCACCCGAGGGCUCGCCAUGCAAUAUCCCAACUAAGCUACAUUGGGGCAACAAGGGUGCCAAACUCAAAGUGAAGUCCAAGACUGACGACGAAGUUGUGCUCUCGGCUAAGCCAUUUGCUUAUGCACCGAAGACUCCUUACAAGGAGUGUGAAAAGAGCAAGCCACAUCAUCCUCCUCCUUAUGUUUACAAGUCUCCGCCUCCGCCUACGCCUACUUACGUGUACAAGUCACCGCCUCCACCACCGCCCAAGUACUACUACAAGUCGCCGCCACCACCCGCUUACUACUACAAGUCACCACCACCUCCGGCGUAUGUUUACAAGUCACCACCACCACCAUCACCUAAGCCACCAACCCCAUACUACUACAAGUCUCCUCCUCCACCAUCACCUAAGCCACCAACUCCAUACUACUAUAAAUCACCACCACCACCAUCACCUAAACCACCAACUCCAUACUACUACAAGUCUCCUCCUCCACCAUCACCUAAGCCAGAACCCCCAUACUACUACAAGUCUCCUCCUCCACCAUCACCUAAGCCACAACCCCCAUACUACUACAAGUCUCCUCCACCACCAUCACCUAAGCCACAACCUCCAUACUAUUACAAGAGUCCUCCACCACCAUCACCCAAACCACCCACUCCAUACUACUACAAGUCUCCUCCACCACCAUCUCCCAAACCACCCACUCCAUACUACUACAAGUCUCCCCCACCACCUUCACCUAAGCCACAACCUCCAUACUAUUACAAGAGUCCUCCACCACCAUCACCCAAACCACCAACUCCAUACUACUACAAGUCUCCUCCUCCACCAUCACCUAAGCCAGAACCCCCAUACUACUACAAGUCUCCUCCUCCGCCAUCACCUAAGCCACACCCUCCAUACUACUACAAGUCUCCUCCACCACCAUCCCCUAAGCCACAACCUCCAUACUAUUACAAGAGUCCUCCGCCACCAUCACCCAAACCACCCACUCCAUACUACUACAAGUCUCCUCCUCCACCAUCUCCUAAACCACCCACUCCAUACUACUACAAGUCUCCUCCUCCACCAUCUCCCAAACCACCCACUCCAUACUACUACAAGUCUCCCCCACCACCAUCACCUAAGCCAGAACCCCCAUACUACUACAAGUCUCCUCCUCCACCAUCUCCCAAACCACCCACUCCAUACUAUUACAAGUCUCCCCCACCACCAUCACCUAAGCCAGAACCCCCAUACUAUUACAAGUCUCCUCCACCACCUUCACCUUCACCCCCACCUCCAUAUUAUUACAAGUCACCUCCACCACCUUCACCCAAACCACAACCUCCAUACUUGUACAAGUCUCCCCCACCACCAUCUCCCUCUCCCCCACCACCAUACUACUACAAGUCCCCACCACCACCAUCACCUUCUCCUCCACCUCCAUAUUACUACAAGUCUCCUCCCCCACCAUCACCCAAAUUACCAACCCCAUACCAUUACCAGUCUCCUCCACCACCUUCACCUUCUCCCCCACCUCCAUAUUAUUACAAGUCACCUCCACCGCCUUCACCCAAACCACAACCUCCAUACCUGUACAAGUCUCCCCCACCACCGUCUCCCUCUCCUCCACCACCAUACUACUACAAGUCCCCACCACCACCAUCACCUUCUCCUCCACCUCCAUACUACUACAAGUCUCCUCCCCCACCAUCACCCAAACCACCAACCCCAUACUAUUACCAAUCUCCUCCACCACCUUCACCUUCUCCCCCACCUCCAUAUUACUACAAGUCACCUCCACCACCAUCACCCAAACCACAACCUCCAUACUUGUACAAGUCUCCCCCACCACCAUCUCCCUCUCCUCCACCACCAUACUACUACAAAUCCCCACCACCACCUUCACCCCACCACCAUCGCCAUCGCCUCCACCACCAUACAAAUACAUCUCUCCACCACCCCCCACACACUCUUCUCCUCCCCCCUACCACUACACCUCUCCCCCACCACCAUCGCCAUCGCCUCCACCACCAUACAAAUACAUCUCUCCACCACCCCCCACACACUCUUCUCCUCCCCCCUACCACUACACCUCUCCCCCACCACCAUCGCCAUCGCCUCCACCACCAUACAAAUACAUCUCUCCACCACCCCCCACACACUCUUCUCCUCCCCCCUACCACUACACCUCUCCCCCACCACCAUCACCAUCUCCUCCUCCCCCUUACAUGUACGAAUCCCCUCCACCUCCUGUGAAGUCACCACCACCACCGGUUUACAUUUAUGCAUCUCCCCCACCUCCAAUUCACUAUUAAGCAUAGACCGAUCAUGUUUUAAUUUAAACAGUGGAAUAAAGGAAGGCUCCCAAAGUGGAAAAUUGAGGCAUCAAGCUUCCAAUCCAAGUCCAUUCAAUAAGGGUCUGGCAGAAACUUCAAUGAUCUACAACAUCAGCAAUUCAGACCAGUGUGUUUCUACUUUGUUGGUGGCCAUCUUGCACGUGAUUUUACUAUAUUCUUCAAGUUGGGAACCAAGCAAGAUUAAAUGGGAAAGUGGGCAAUAUUGGAGGGUUUAAUUUAUCAGCAGGGUCUUGGAAUUAGCUUGGUUGUCACAGUUUCAUUUUUCAGUAUUCCCACUUGGGGUCUCUUAAUUUGUGAUUGUAUAGUGAGUGCUUUGGCCGUUUAAUUGUUUGAUUGGCUUCUAUUUAUUGUGAGGAGAAUAUCAUGUUUCUUGGCCCUUCCUGUGCUCUAGGCACUGAUGAUUAAUUUAGCAAUAAAGAAAGACAUUCACGUUCAA